rnacentral:misc_RNA from 1 species
CCUUGAUAUUGCUUUGGCAGCGGGGCAACCCCCGGGCCUUCCGCCUUGGUGUGCCUGCAAAGGAAACAAACUCUGUUUUUAGUGAUGUCUGAUACUAUAUAAAAGUUAAAACUUUCAACAACGGAUCUCUUGGUUCUGGCAUCGAUGAAGAACGCACGAAAUGCGAUAAGUAAUGUGAAUUGCAGAAUUCUGAAUCAUCGAAUCUUUGAACGCACAUUGCGCCCCGUGGUAUUCCGCGGGGCAUGCCUGUUCGAGCGUCAUUUCCACCCAUCAAGCUUCGGCUUGGUCUUGGGGCCUGCCAUUCCGCACCUCUAAACCCAGUGGCGGUGCCUCCGACUCUGAGAUUAAUUCUUCUCGCUGUAGGUCUCGGUGGUGUCUUGCCAACCCCCAUUUUUACUGGUUGACCAAAUCAAUGAUACCCACUAUUUUAACUAUCAAUAAAA